AACGAACGCUGGCGGCAGGCCUAACACAUGCAAGUCGAACGCCCCGCAAGGGGAGUGGCAGACGGGUGAGUAACGCGUGGGAACGUACCCUUCGGUUCGGAAUAACCCGGGGAAACUCGGGCUAAUACCGGAUACGUCCGCAAGGAGAAAGAUUUAUCGCCGAAGGAUCGGCCCGCGUCGGAUUAGCUAGUUGGUGGGGUAAUGGCCCACCAAGGCGACGAUCCGUAGCUGGUCUGAGAGGAUGAUCAGCCACACUGGGACUGAGACACGGCCCAGACUCCUACGGGAGGCAGCAGUGGGGAAUAUUGGACAAUGGGCGAAAGCCUGAUCCAGCCAUGCCGCGUGAGUGAAGAAGGCCUUAGGGUUGUAAAGCUCUUUCAGCGGGGAAGAUAAUGACGGUACCCGCAGAAGAAG
rnacentral:rRNA from 1 species